rnacentral:rRNA from 1 species
AUUGAACACUGGCGGCAUGCCUUACACAUGCAAGUCGAACGGCAGCACGGGAGCAAUCCUGGUGGCGAGUGGCGAACGGGUGAGUAAUAUAUCGGAACGUGCCCAGUAAUGGGGGAUAGCCCGGCGAAAGCCGGAUUAAUACCGCAUACGACCUACGGGUGAAAGCAGGGGAUCGCAAGACCUUGCGUUAUUGGAGCGGCCGAUAUCAGAUUAGCUAGUUGGUGGGGUAAAAGCCUACCAAGGCGACGAUCUGUAGCUGGUCUGAGAGGACGACCAGCCACACUGGGACUGAGACACGGCCCAGACUCCUACGGGAGGCAGCAGUGGGGAAUUUUGGACAAUGGGCGCAAGCCUGAUCCAGCCAUGCCGCGUGUGGGAAGAAGGCCUUCGGGUUGUAAACCACUUUUGUCAGGGAAGAAACGCUCUGGGCUAAUACCCUGGGGUAAUGACGGUACCUGAAGAAUAAACACCGGCUAACUACGUGCCAGCCGCCGCGGUAAUAC